rnacentral:rRNA from 1 species
UUAAGCGACUAAGCGUACACGGUGGAUGCCCUGGCAGUCAGAGGCGAUGAAGGACGUGCUAAUCUGCGAAAAGCGUCGGUAAGGUGAUAUGAACCGUUAUAACCGGCGAUGUCCGAAUGGGGAAACCCAGUGCAAUUCGUUGCACUAUCGUUAACUGAAUACAUAGGUUAACGAGGCGAACCGGGGGAACUGAAACAUCUAAGUACCCCGAGGAAAAGAAAUCAACCGAGAUUCCCCCAGUAGCGGCGAGCGAACGGGGAGCAGCCCAGAGUCUGAAUCAGCUUGUGUGUUAGUGGAACGGUCUGGAAAGUCCGACGGUACAGGGUGAUAGUCCCGUACACCAAAAUGCACAGGUUGUGAACUCGAAGAGUAGGGCGGGACACGUGGUAUCCUGUCUGAAUAUGGGGGGACCAUCCUCCAAGGCUAAAUACUCCUGACUGACCGAUAGUGAACCAGUACCGUGAGGGGAAAGGCGAAAAGAACCCCCGGCGAGGGGAGUGAAAAAGAACCUGAAACCGUGUACGUACAAGCAGUGGGAGCACCUUCGGGUGUGACUGCGUACCUUUUGUAUAAUGGGUCAGCGACUUAUAUUCUGUAGCAAGGUUAACCGUAUAGGGGGAGCCGCAGGGAAACCGAGUCUUAACUGGGCGUUAAGUUGCAGGGUAUAGACCCGAAACCCGGUGAUCUAGCCAUGGGCAGGUUGAAGGUUGGGUAACACUAACUGGAGGACCGAACCGACUAAUGUUGAAAAAUUAGCGGAUGACUUGUGGCUGGGGGUGAAAGGCCAAUCAAACCGGGAGAUAGCUGGUUCUCCCCGAAAGCUAUUUAGGUAGCGCCUCGUGAAUUCAUCUUCGGGGGUAGAGCACUGUUUCGGCUAGGGGGGUCAUCCCGACUUACCAACCCGAUGCAAACUACGAAUACCGAAGAAUGUUAUCACGGGAGACACACGGCGGGUGCUAACGUCCGUCGUGAAGAGGGAAACAACCCAGACCGCCAGCUAAGGUCCCAAAGUCAUGGUUAAGUGGGAAACGAUGUGGGAAGGCACAGACAGCCAGGAUGUUGGCUUAGAAGCAGCCAUCAUUUAAAGAAAGCGUAAUAGCUCACUGGUCGAGUCGGCCUGCGCGGAAGAUGUAACGGGGCUAAACCAUGCACCGAAGCUGCGGCAGCGACACUAUGUGUUGUUGGGUAGGGGAGCGUUCUGUAAGCCUGCGAAGGUGUGCUGUGAGGCAUGCUGGAGGUAUCAGAAGUGCGAAUGCUGACAUAAGUAACGAUAAAGCGGGUGAAAAGCCCGCUCGCCGGAAGACCAAGGGUUCCUGUCCAACGUUAAUCGGGGCAGGGUGAGUCGACCCCUAAGGCGAGGCCGAAAGGCGUAGUCGAUGGGAAACAGGUUAAUAUUCCUGUACUUGGUGUUACUGCGAAGGGGGGACGGAGAAGGCUAUGUUAGCCGGGCGACGGUUGUCCCGGUUUAAGCAUGUAGGCUGGUUAUCCAGGCAAAUCCGGAUAAUCAAGGCUGAGGUGUGAUGACGAGGCACUACGGUGCUGAAGUAACAAAUGCCCUGCUUCCAGGGAAAAGCCUCUAAGCAUCAGGUAACAUCAAAUCGUACCCCAAACCGACACAGGUGGUCAGGUAGAGAAUACCAAGGCGCUUGAGAGAACUCGGGUGAAGGAACUAGGCAAAAUGGUGCCGUAACUUCGGGAGAAGGCACGCUGGUGUGUAGGUGAAGUCCCUGCGGAUGGAGCUGAGACCAGUCGAAGAUACCAGCUGGCUGCAACUGUUUAUUAAAAACACAGCACUGUGCAAACACGAAAGUGGACGUAUACGGUGUGACGCCUGCCCGGUGCCGGAAGGUUAAUUGAUGGGGUUAUCCGUAAGGAGAAGCUCUUGAUCGAAGCCCCGGUAAACGGCGGCCGUAACUAUAACGGUCCUAAGGUAGCGAAAUUCCUUGUCGGGUAAGUUCCGACCUGCACGAAUGGCGUAAUGAUGGCCAGGCUGUCUCCACCCGAGACUCAGUGAAAUUGAACUCGCUGUGAAGAUGCAGUGUACCCGCGGCAAGACGGAAAGACCCCGUGAACCUUUACUAUAGCUUGACACUGAACAUUGAGCCUUGAUGUGUAGGAUAGGUGGGAGGCUUUGAAGCGUGGACGCCAGUCUGCGUGGAGCCAACCUUGAAAUACCACCCUUUAAUGUUUGAUGUUCUAACGUUGGCCCCUUACCGGGGUUGCGGACAGUGUCUGGUGGGUAGUUUGACUGGGGGCGGUCUCCUCCCAAAGCGUAACGGAGGAGCACGAAGGUUAGCUAAUCCUGGUCGGACAUCAGGAGGUUAGUGCAAUGGCAUAAGCUAGCUUGACUGCGAGCGUGACGGCGCGAGCAGGUGCGAAAGCAGGUCAUAGUGAUCCGGUGGUUCUGAAUGGAAGGGCCAUCGCUCAACGGAUAAAAAGGUACUCCGGGGAUAACAGGCUGAUACCGCCCAAGAGUUCAUAUCGACGGCGGUGUUUGGCACCUCGAUGUCGGCUCAUCACAUCCUGGGGCUGAAGUAGGUCCCAAGGGUAUGGCUGUUCGCCAUUUAAAGUGGUACGCGAGCUGGGUUUAGAACGUCGUGAGACAGUUCGGUCCCUAUCUGCCGUGGGCGCUGGAGAAUUGAGGGGGGCUGCUCCUAGUACGAGAGGACCGGAGUGGACGCAUCACUGGUGUUCGGGUUGUCAUGCCAAUGGCACUGCCCGGUAGCUAAAUGCGGAAGAGAUAAGUGCUGAAAGCAUCUAAGCACGAAACUUGCCCCGAGAUGAGUUCUCCCUGAGACUUUAAGUCUCCUGAAGGAACGUUGAAGACGACGACGUUGAUAGGCCGGGUGUGUAAGCGCAGCGAUGCGUUGAGCUAACCGGUACUAAUGAACCGUGAGGCUUAACCU